rnacentral:rRNA from 1 species
AAAUUGAAGAGUUUGAUCAUGGCUCAGAUUGAACGCUGGCGGCAGGCCUAACACAUGCAAGUCGAACGGUAACAGGAAGCAGCUUGCUGCUUCGCUGACGAGUGGCGGACGGGUGAGUAAUGUCUGGGAAACUGCCUGAUGGAGGGGGAUAACUACUGGAAACGGUGGCUAAUACCGCAUAACGUCGCAAGACCAAAGAGGGGGAACUUCGGGCCACUAUCCAUCAGAUGUGCCCCGAUGGGAUUAUCUUGUUGGGGAGGUAAC